ensembl:lncRNA
CAGCUCCACAUGUGGCAUGUGGAGACGCUUCGUAUACCUUUGCCUCCUCCUGGCCUCCAUUCUCUCCUGCAUAGUUACAUCCCUGCUUCUAGCCCACUCAGGUCUUCCUCUCCACCUGGCUCUGUCUCCCGCUUUCUCUUUCCUUUUUAGCUUUCCUACCAAGACUCUGAGAGCACCCACUCCUUCUGCGUUUUCUUCCCUCUUCCCCUACCCCCUUUCAGGCUUCAGUCUCCCUCUGUCUCCUUCGUCCCCUUCUUCCACCUCCACUCCAUUCCUUUCUCCCUAGUUCUGAAGCAAGUGGGCCAGAGAAUCUGUCUCCUCCCCUUUGCCUCUCCUCUCCCCGCUCCUCCCCCAGACACACAAAAGGGGACAGAGGCACCAGAUGGCCCUGGUGCUAGCAGCCGGGCUCAGGGGGCCUGCUGCCCACAGAGGUCCCCGCUGGGCCUGCAAGCUAGUCCAAGCUGCUGCCCGGCCCAGCCGCCCAGCUGGCAGAGAAGCAGGGCACGGGGCCAGCCUCCUCCACACGAGGCCAGCUCCCCCUGCCAGCUCCCCAUGCCCGGCCUGCCCCUGGGCCAGCCCUCAAGUGGGGGCGGGGGGCGGCGGGCAGACUCACCAGCUGAAAAGCAGAGAGUGUCCCCAGGUGUCUGAGCCUCAGUACCAGAGUACAGGGCCCAGUGGCCUACAGGGAUACUAGGAUUUCCCAGGAGGGAUAGGAGUGCCUGGCAAUCUGCUCUUUCUAUGUAACAGACUGUGCCAAGGAGGGGCCUCAGCGAUGGGCCUUCAGGAAAGCCACGUGGUGCACGGCAGAAGUUUCCAAUCCUGGCCAUGACGAGUGCCUGAGGGACUUUUUAAAAACCAAGAUCCCAAGACUUCUCCUCUGGAGAUUCUGAUGUGUACCCAGCCUCUCUGGGAGACACUUAAUGCAAGAGCACCCUGUGAAAGAGGCAGCCUGGGUUUCCUUUGAGAAAAGAUGCUUUGAUCCCUCCCGGCCUCAGUUUCCUGACACUUGAGGUUCCAGAGUCCAGACUUCAGAAGGAUCAAGAGAAAGGGAGGUAUCACCAGGAAGAGAAGAAGAGUGAGUGGUUCGAUGCACAGGCUUGAGCACCAGACUGCCUGAGUUCACAUCCAGGUACUGCUGGUAUGACCUUGCACAAGUUGCUCAACCUCUCUGUGCCUCAGUUUCCCCACCUAUGGAAUUGGGCUGAUAGUAAUGGUACGUACUUCCUAGGACAUGUGUGUGAAGUGCACAGGGUAAGCACCUAUGUCACUGUUUUAUUACCCAGGAAACUUGAUUCCAUGCCACCUGGAACUACCUUCUCUCCCCAGCAAGGGCACUGGUAACACUGGGAGGAAGGACAGGGAAGCCUGGCAUGCUGCAGUCCAUGGGGUCACAAGUGGGACACAACUGAGUGACUGAACAGCAACAACACUGGGAGAGGGACAGUGAUCAGCGGGAUCCAAGCACCAGCAAUUUCCCUCCCAACACCCAGCCCCCUGGGUGGCUCUGGGGGCUCUCACCUCAGGGCGCCGCCCCUUGCUGCCCACUUCCUUUAUCUGCAAGGUGCUUUAUUCACCAUCACUAUCUUCCCUUUCCUACUAACUCUGCGCAUCCUCAGGGUCAGGGCUGGGAAUAAAAUGAGUCAAAGCUUAGGGCAUAAAACUUAAGGAAACUUACUCUCAGCUUUGUGCAAGUGCUCCUGGCUCAGGUCAGGCGUCACCUCCUCCAAGAAGCCCUCUCUGAAUCCCAUUCAUCCAAGUCUUCUUGGAUGUCCCUCACCUCUGAUCAAAAUCCAUGGCAACUUUCCGUUGACUAGCUGGCUCCCAUACCAACCUGUGCUCCAGAACGUCAGGCACAUAGCAUCUUCCUUUCUCCUCCAGCGGAGCCUCAUACUUGCUGAGCCAGGGAAGGAAGGCAAUGAAUGUCCAGUGGGUAAAGAUAGAAAGAAUCUUUCUAGAGGAGACCCUGAAGCCUGG